UAAGAAUUUAAAAGUCGAACAGACUUAUUGCUGAGAAUACUGCCUCUCAAAAUUUUCUUAAUUCAACAUCGAGGUCGCAAAAUAUAAUAUAGAUAUGAACUCCCCAUUAAAAUUACGCUGUUAUCCCUAAGGUAACUUAAUCUUAUUUUCCACACAUAAGGGAUCUAAAUUUACAUAAAUAAAUGAAUUUUAAAAUUAAAGUUUAUAUUUAAUCACCACCCCAGCAAAAUAUAAAAAAUCAUAAGAAAUAUAAUUAAUAAAACUUUAUAAUAAAAAUUUAUAUAAAGUUCUAUAGGGUCUUAUCGUCCCAAUAAAUCAUUAAAGCAUUUUAACUUUAAAUUUAAAUUUUAACAUUUUAAAAAAUAAAGUAUAAUUCUCAUACAUCCAUUCAUACAAGCUUCCAAUUAAAAAACUAAUUACUAUGCUACCUUUGCACAGUCAAAAUACUGCAGCCAUUUAGAAAAAUUAACCAUAGGGCAGAAGAUACUUUUUAUAGAACCCA
rnacentral:rRNA from 1 species